GUUUUUAGCUCACCUGGCCCGAAGGGCCAAGUGAGCUUUUCCCAUCACUUGGCGUCCGUCGUCCGUCGUCGUCGUCCGUCGUCGUCCGUCGUCGUUAACUUUUACAAAAAUCUUCUCCUCUGAAACUACUGGGCCAAAUUAAACCAAACUUGGCCACAAUCAUCAUUGGGGUAUCUAGUUUAAAAAAUGUGUGGCAUGACCCAGCCAACCAACCAAGAUGGCCGCCAUGGCUAAAAAUAGAACAUAGGGGUAAAAUGCAGUUUUUGGCUUAUUACUCAAAAACCAAAGCAUUUAGAGCAAAUCUGACAUGGGGUAAAAAUGUUUAUCAGGUCAAGAUCUAUCUGCCCUCAAAUUUUCAGAUGAAUUCGACAACCC
rnacentral:lncRNA from 1 species